GAUGAACGCUGGCGGCGUGCCUAAUACAUGCAAGUCGAGCGAACAGAUAAGGAGCUUGCUCCUUUGACGUUAGCGGCGGACGGGUGAGUAACACGUGGGUAACCUACCUAUAAGACUGGAAUAACUCCGGGAAACCGGGGCUAAUGCCGGAUAACAUAUAGAACCGCAUGGUUCUAAAGUGAAAGAUGGUUUUGCUAUCACUUAUAGAUGGACCCGCGCCGUAUUAGCUAGUUGGUAAGGUAACGGCUUACCAAGGCAACGAUACGUAGCCGACCUGAGAGGGUGAUCGGCCACACUGGAACUGAGACACGGUCCAGACUCCUACGGGAGGCAGCAGUAGGGAAUCUUCCGCAAUGGGCGAAAGCCUGACGGAGCAACGCCGCGUGAGUGAUGAAGGUCUUCGGAUCGUAAAACUCUGUUAUUAGGGAAGAACAAAUGUGUAAGUAACUGUGCACGUCUUGACGGUACCUAAUCAGAAAGCCACGGCUAACUACGUG
rnacentral:rRNA from 1 species